UCGCCCUAUGACAGCUGGGAUAGGCUCCAGCGCCCCCCGCGACCCUGAAAAGGAUAAGCGGAAGCGAAUGGAUGGAUGGAGAUCACUUGUCAUCGAUCAAACUGAUUCGAUGUACAAGGAUCUUUGAUAUAUCAAAUCUUGUGAUUUGACAUCAAUAGAUCACUUGUCGUCAAUCAAACUCUGAUUCGAUAUCCAAGUAUCUUUGAUAUAUCAAAUCUUGUGAUUUGACAUCAAUAGAUCACUUGACAUCGAUUACACUCUGAUUCGAUGUACAAGGAUUUUUGAUAUAUCAAAUCUUGUGAUUUGACAUCAAUAGAUCACUUGACAUCGAUCAAACUCUGAUUCGAGUACGAGGCAGCAGAGAGGACCUUGUAUGGGUUUACUACCACAUUCUAAAGGUCCUGGCAUUCUACUGAAGUAGGGAAGGCGUCAUUAGAUGAUGACUCCUAGUGAUGGUGAGAUGAAGCCUCGUGAGGAACUGAAGGUUUCCAUCCAACUGGUCGACUCAUGGUUCAAAGCAUUGUGAUGAUUCAUUUGCUCUACUGCACCAUCAAGUGGACGAUUCAAGU